rnacentral:rRNA from 1 species
GAUGAACGCUGGCGGCGUGCCUAAUACAUGCAAGUCGAGCGAACAGAUGAGGAGCUUGCUCCUCUGACGUUAGCGGCGGACGGGUGAGUAACACGUGGAUAACCUACCUAUAAGACUGGGAUAACUUCGGGAAACCGGAGCUAAUACCGGAUAAUAUAUUGAACCGCAUGGUUCAAUAGUGAAAGACGGUUUUGCUGUCACUUAUAGAUGGAUCCGCGCCGCAUUAGCUAGUUGGUAAGGUAACGGCUUACCAAGGUAACGAUGCGUAGCCGACCUGAGAGGGUGAUCGGCCACACUGGAACUGAGACACGGUCCAGACUCCUACGGGAGGCAGCAGUAGGGAAUCUUCCGCAAUAGGCGAAAGCUUGACGGAGCAACGCCGCGUGAGUGAUGAAGGUCUUCGGAUCGUAAAACUCUGUUAUUAGGGAAGAACAAAUGUGUAAGUAACUAUGCACGUCUUGACGGUACCUAAUCAGAAAGCCACGGCUAACUACGU